rnacentral:lncRNA from 1 species
CACGCUUCCUCUCCGCAACAUGCAAAUGUCGGGCUGUCACAGAUGGCUGCAAAGUCACAGCCCGGUGUUCCCAGCAGCGAGCGUGGGAUUUCAUAGGGCUAGGCCUUCAUUUUGUAAACCCUCCUCGACUGCAGUUGGGCUGUUUUGAAGAGAUCUCUGUGACAGAACGACAGCCAGAGAUGUUGCUACAUCUUGCACGUGCGGGCUCCACGGCCCCCGAGAAACCACAGUGUCCCGUGGGAACACCCACCCGCAGCACCUGGGGACCACGAAGAUGGAGACAGGACCCGUCUCCAGGGAGCGGAGAAAUGCAGGCCGGUCCCCCAGCCCCUCCCAGGGCCCAUCUGCGCUGAGUGACAAUCUCCUCCUAAUGAGAAGCAAUAAAGGCUAAUUAUCCACAGUUUCA